UUCAUGAUUCAGACCUUGGUGAGUGGCGGACGGGUGAGUAACACGUGGGUAACCUGCCCAGAAGCAGGGGAUAACACUUGGAAACAGGUGCUAAUACCGCAUAACAACUUGGACCGCAUGGUCCGAGUUUGAAAGAUGGCUUUGCUAUCACUUUUGGAUGGUCCCGCGGCGUAUUAGCUAGAUGGUGGGGUAACGGCUCACCAUGGCAAUGAUACGUAGCCGACCUGAGAGGGUAAUCGGCCACAUUGGGACUGAGACACGGCCCAAACUCC
rnacentral:rRNA from 1 species